UACGUAGGUGGCAAGCGUUGUCCGGAUUUACUGGGCGUAAAGAGCGCGCAGGCGGUCGUCCAAGUCGCGUGUGAAAGCCCCCGGCUCAACUGGGGAGGGUCACGCGAUACUGGUCGACUCGAAGGCAGGAGAGGGUAGUGGAAUUCCCGGUGUAGUGGUGAAAUGCGUAGAUAUCGGGAGGAACUCCGGUGGCGAAGGCGGCAUACUGGACCACCACUGACGCUGAUGCGCGAAAGCCAGGGGAGCAAACGGG
rnacentral:rRNA from 1 species